rnacentral:rRNA from 1 species
AUCUUUAAAAUUAAAAAAUUUGGCGGUAUUUUAGUCUGUUCAGAGGAACCUGUUUUUUGAUCGAUAAUCCACGAUAAAUUUUACUUUGAUUAUUAAUUUAUAUAUCGUUGUUUAUAAAAAUUUUAGGAUAUAAUUUUUUCAGAUCAAGGUGUAGUUUAUAUUAAAGUUAAAAUGGGUUACAUUAAAAAGUUAAGAUAAAUUGGAUUUGAUAGUAAGCUCUAAAAUAUGCACAUAUCGCCCGUCGCUUUCACUUUAAGGUGAAAUAAGUCGUAACAAAGUAGGCUUAUUGGAAAAUGGGCCUGGAAUUCAGAUUAGAGCUUGAGAAGCGUUUUAUUUACACUAAGAGGAUAACUAAUAAUUUAGUUUAAUUUGAAUUUAGUGUAUUAUUAUUAUUUUUUAUUUUUUAUUGUUUAUGGAAUUAUAUUUUUUUUUAUUUUUUAUUUGAAAAAAUUUUAUUAUAGUUUAAAGUAUUGUGAGAGAAUUAUUUUUGUUUAUAAAAGUUGAUUUAUUUUAUUGUACCUUGUGUAUCAGGGUUGAUUGAUUAGGUUUUCUCGAAUCUAUAAGAGUUAUUUUUACUGUGGCAUAAGUAUUUUUAAUAUUCAUAUUGUGAUGAGAUGUUAUUCGUUUUUAGAUAUAUCUAGUUUCUUAAGAAAUGAAUUUAAUUCAUUAGGUUUAGGUAUUGUUUAUGGGGGAUAAGCUUUUAAAUAUAUUAUUAUAAUUAAUUUUUUUUAUAAUUUUUAUAGGAUUAGAAUUUUCCAUUAUUUAUAGUAUGUUAUAGAUGGUUUAAUUUUAUAUUAAGAUUUAAUUUUAAAUUGAAAAAGGUUAGGAAUGAUGAUUAAAUUAGUAAGGUAGUUUAAAGGAAUUCGGCAAAUUUAAUUUUCACCUGUUUAUUAAAAACAUGUCUUUUUGAUAUUAUUUAAGGUCAGGCCUGCCCAAUGAUUAAAUGGCCGCAGUAUUUUGACUGUGCAAAGGUAGCAUAAUCAUUAGUUUCUUAAUUAGAAGCUUGUAUGAAAGGUUUGAUGAGAAAUUAACUGUCUCUAGAAUUUAAUUUUUAAGUUAAAAAGCUUAAAUUUUUUAGAAAGACGAGAAGACCCUAUAGAGUUUUUUUGUUGGGGUGAUGGGAAAAUUAAAUAAACUUUUCUUUUGGUU